GCCAUUCAAAUUAAAAUAUUAAAAAUUCAUUGAUGAUAUGUUGUUUAGCCACUCUGUCCAACAAAGGUGAUGAAGCAGAGCAUUACAAGGAAUAAAUAUUACUUUUUUUCUCUCAUAUUAAUCUUUAUAAUUAAGAACAUAUGCAAUUGUAAUCAGUGAAGAGAUCUUGGUACUAAACAAAAAAUUAACAAUUUAAAUUUCUUCACUAUCACAUUUACUUUCAAAAUAUAUAUCUCAAAAUAUGAAAAUCUGACUAAUGAAAUCUGUAACUGUGUGAAAUCCAUUUCUUUUUUAUGUACAAAGAAAAAGAGAAUCUAAUUACCUUUAAUUUCUCUACAAAGUACAAUACAAAUCCUCAAACCUCUCCCAUUUAAAUCAUCAUUCAUUUUUUUUUUCUUUUUCCAUGAAAACAAGAUUGACCCAAUAGGCCAAUACUCAUCUUCAUCAACUUAAUACACCUAAACUAAUCUAAAUGAACCUUAAUUAAUCCAUUUCAGGGAUGCUUUGAAGUGCUGGUCUCCAAGAUCUUUGAAGUGAUUUAUAGCCAUUACUAUGAUUCAUCAAUUGGGCUAAAACUUGU
rnacentral:lncRNA from 1 species